rnacentral:lncRNA from 1 species
CCUGUCAAAAAUAUGUAAACUCAUUUAUGUUUGAUGUCAUUUACCAUUUAAUCAUACCAUUACAUGCAAACAGUUCACUAUUGACCAAUGACAAACUCACUUUUUAUGAUACAUGUAUCGAAGUUUUGAAGUCUUAAUUCUUUUUACCAUGAUUGAAAGGCUAAUGACAAACGUAUGAUAACUUAUGUACUGUAAAUCCAUAAUUUUUUGGUGUGCAUUUAUUAUUGUGAAAGUUGGCCCCCACUUAUGAAAAUUUCUGGAUCCGCCACUGUAUAAAAUUUAGUUUGAGCUUUUAUUUCUGAGAAGUGAUUGUUGUUGCAAUGAUAAAACAUCUUAAAAUAUUGUGAAUUAAUUACAAUUAUAUAGUUAUAUAGUUACCCUUUACGGUUGGAGGUUUUAUGUUUGAAAAAAUGUUGUUAAUCAAUUAACGAUUACAUUUUAAGUUUUUUCAAGCAUUAACUGUUUUAAUCAAAUAAAUAAGAUUUUGCAUUCGAUUAUUUGAUAAAUGAAAGUUCUAGUGACCUCACUUUCAUUUAGAAUAAUACAGGAUGUUAAUAUUGAAAAAGGGACAUAACUCUUUGGAAUCAAUUGUAGUUUUUUGACAACCUUUUCUUUUACAUAUAUUCUAAGUUUCUUAAAAAAUGUGAAUCAUAUCUCUGUGUCAACAGCUACUUCUUAGUAGACAGUUUGAGUAAUCAUCUUUACACUUUCGAAGGUAUUUUUAAAGAUGGAGUAUGUUGUAUCAAAGAAAAGAAAACUAAAAGGUUAAGUUUUGAG